AGCCGUUCGCGCGACUGGCGAGAAAAGAUGGGGAACCAUCGGGGAACGCGAACCUUGUCAGAGCCGCUCGCCUGGGCACCCAUC
rnacentral:ncRNA from 2 species